UACGAGGGGGGCAAGCGUUGUUCGGAAUUAUUGGGCGUAAAGGGCGCGUAGGCGGUCCGUCACGUCGGGAGUGAAAACUCGGGGCUUAACCCCGAGCCUGCAGUGGAUACGGGCAGACUAGAGGUAGGUAGGGGAGAAUGGAAUUCCCGGUGUAGCGGUGAAAUGCGCAGAUAUCGGGAAGGAACGCCGGUGGCGAAAGCGACUGUCUGGGGUGCUGUGACGCUGGAGGCGCGAAAGCCAGGGGAUCAAACGGG
rnacentral:rRNA from 1 species